GGAGGAGUGGCCGAGCGGUUUAAGGCGGCGGUCUUGAAAACCGUUGGGGCUGAAAGGUCCCCGGGGGUUCGAAUCCCUCCUCCUCCGCCA
rnacentral:tRNA from 1 species